UGAGGCAGGAGAAUUGCUUGAACCCAGGAGGUGGAGGCUGCAGUGAGCUGAGAUCAAGCCACUGCACUCCAGCCUGGGUGACAGAGCAAGACUCCA
rnacentral:miRNA from 1 species